AUUGAACGCUGGCGGAAUGCUUUACACAUGCAAGUCGAGCGGCAGCGCGGGGGCAACCCUGGCGGCGAGCGGCGAACGGGUGAGUAACAUAUCGGAACGUACCCUGUCGUGGGGGAUAACUAUCCGAAAGGAUAGCUAAUACCGCAUACGACCUGAGGGUGAAAGCGGGGGACCGCAAGGCCUCGCGCGAUAGGAGCGGCCGAUAUCGGAUUAGCUAGUUGGUGAGGUAAAGGCUCACCAAGGCGACGAUCCGUAGCGGGUCUGAGAGGACGACCCGCCACACUGGAACUGAGACACGGUCCAGACUCCUACGGGAGGCAGCAGUGGGGAAUUUUGGACAAUGGGGGCAACCCUGAUCCAGCCAUUCCGCGUGAGUGAA
rnacentral:rRNA from 1 species